CAGUCGAGGGGCAGCGGGGUAGGAAGCUUGCUUUCUGCCGCCGGCGACCGGCGCACGGGUGAGUAACACGUAUGCAACCUGGCCGUGACAGAUGGAUAACCGGGAGAAAUCCCGCCUAAUACAACAUAAUGCCGGGAGGGGACAUCCCCUGCCGGCCAAAGGGGGCGACCCCGGUCACGGAUGGGCAUGCGGCGCAUUAGGUAGUUGGUGGGGCAACGGCCCACCAAGCCGACGAUGCGUAGGGGUUCUGAGAGGAAGGUCCCCCACAUUGGAACUGAGACACGGUCCAAACUCCUACGGGAGGCAGCAGUGAGGAAUAUUGGUCAAUGGCCGGAAGGCUGAACCAGCCAAGUCGCGUGAGGGAAUAAGGCCCUACGGGUCGUAAACCUCUUUUGCCAGGGAGCAAUGCCGUCCACGUGUGGACGGAAGGAGAGUACCUGGAGAAAAAGCAUCGGCUAACUCCGUGCCAGCAGCCGCGGUAAUACGGAGGAUGCGAGCGUUAUCCGGAUUUAUUGGGUUUAAAGGGUGCGUAGGCGGCCUGCCAAGUCAGCGGUAAAAUUGCGGGGCUCAACCCCGUACAGCCGUUGAAACUGCCGGGCUCGAGUGGGCGAGAAGUAUGCGGAAUGCGUGGUGUAGCGGUGAAAUGCAUAGAUAUCACGCAGAACCCCGAUUGCGAAGGCAGCAUACCGGCGCCCGACUGACGCUGAGGCACGAAAGUGCGGGGAUCAAACAGGAUUAGAUACCCUGGUAGUCCGCACA
rnacentral:rRNA from 1 species